AGUGAACGCUGGCGGUAGGCCUAACACAUGCAAGUCGAACGAGUGGCGGACGGGUGAGGAAUACAUCGGAAUCUACUCUGUCGUGGGGGAUAACGUAGGGAAACUUACGCUAAUACCGCAUACGAUUGAAUGAGCCGAUGUCGGAUUAGCUAGUUGGCGGGGUAAAGGCCCACCAAGGCGACGACCCCUAGCUGGUCUGAGAGGAUGAUCAGACGCACUGGGACGGAGACACGGCCCAGACUCCUACGGGAGGCAGCAGUGGGGAAUAUUGCACAAUGGGCGCAAGCCUGAUGCAGCCAUGCCGCGUGUAUGAAGAAGGCCUUCGGGUUGUAAAGUACUUUCAGUCGGGAGGCGUUACCGACAGAAGAAGCACCGGCUAACUCCGUGCCAGCAGCCGCGGUAAUUC
rnacentral:rRNA from 1 species